UGAGGAACAUGACCUUCGGCGGGGGAGUAGCCGGCCCAACGGCCGGGUAAUACCGCGUACGACCACAUGGGGACAUCCCUGAGUGGUGUAAGCAGCAAUGCGCCGAUGGAGUGCCUCGCGGCCUAUCAGCUAGUUGGUGAGGUAACGGCUCACCAAGGCAACGACGGGUAGCUGGUCUGAGAGGAUGGCCAGCCACAUUGGGACUGAGACACGGCCCAGAUCCCGUACGGGG
rnacentral:rRNA from 1 species